rnacentral:rRNA from 1 species
UACGUAGGGCGCGAGCGUUGUCCGGAAUUAUUGGGCGUAAAGAGCUCGUAGGCGGCCUGUCGCGUCGGUUGUGAAGGCCCGGGGCUCAACCCCGGGUCUGCAGUCGAUACGGGCAGGCUAGAGUUCGGUAGGGGAGAUCGGAAUUCCUGGUGUAGCGGUGAAAUGCGCAGAUAUCAGGAGGAACACCGGUGGCGAAGGCGGGUCUCUGGGCCGAUACUGACGCUGAGGAGCGAAAGCGUGGGGAGCGAACAGG